rnacentral:rRNA from 1 species
UACAGAGGGGGCAAGCGUUAUUCGGAAUUAUUGGGCGUAAAGGGCGCGUAGGCGGCCUGGCAAGUGGAAGGUGAAAUCCCUCGGCUUAACCGAGGAACUGCCCUCCAAACUGCUUGGCUUGAGACCGGGAGAGGUGAGUGGAACUGCGAGUGUAGAGGUGAAAUUCGUAGAUAUUCGCAAGAACACCAGUGGCGAAGGCGGCUCACUGGCCCGGUACUGACGCUGAGGUGCGAAAGCGUGGGGAGCGAACAGG